rnacentral:rRNA from 1 species
AACGCUGGCGGCGUGCCUAACACAUGCAAGUCGCACGAGAAAGGGGCUUCGGUCCUGAGUAAAGUGGCGCACGGGUGAGUAACACGUGACUAAUCUACCUCCGAGUGGGGAAUAACUGAGGGAAACCUUAGCUAAUACCGCAUAACACUUACGAGUCAAAGCAGCAAUGCGCUUGGAGAGGAGGUCGCGGCAGAUUAGCUAGUUGGAGGGGUAAUGGCCCACCAAGGCAAUGAUCUGUAUCCGGCCUGAGAGGGCGCACGGACACACUGGAACUGAAACACGGUCCAGACUCCUACGGGAGGCAGCAGUGGGGAAUUUUGCGCAAUGGGGGAAACCCUGACGCAGCAACGCCGCGUGGAGGAUGAAGUCUCUUGGGACGUAAACUCCUUUCGAUAGGGAAG